rnacentral:rRNA from 1 species
GCAGAGACUAUCUCUCGUACCUUUUGCAUCAUGGUUCAACAAGUUUAUUCAAGCAAAGAGAACUCUAGUUUGUACCCCCGAAACUUGACGAGCUACUCCGAGACAGCCAACAAUGGGCUAACCCAUCUCUGUGGCAAAAGAGUGGGAAGAUCUCCGAGUAGAGGCAAAAAACCUACCGAGCCAAGUUAUAGCUGGUUGCCCAAUAAAUGAAUAAAAGUUCAGCCCCGCCCAGCCCAACUCAAAACAGUCUCACUAAAAAAGACAAAGAGCUAUACACGGGAGUUAAUCAAAGGAGGUACAGCUCCUUUGAUAUAGGAUACAACCUUUUUAGGAGAUUAAAGAAUAUUAUUUAUAAGGCCCUAGGUUUCAGUGGGCCUAAAAGCAGCCAUCUGAUCUGAAAGCGUUAAAGCUCCAACUAUAAAAAAGCCUUUUAUUAGAUUUUAAUUUCUACCCCCCCUAAUUCUUAUUGGGCCUCCCCAUGCCUUCAUGGAAGAGACUAUGCUGAAACGAGUAACAAGAAGAAUGAACUUCUCCACGCACAAGUGUAUGUCAAACUGGACCAACCACCGACAAUUAACAAACCCAACAAAAGAGGGCCUUGUAUAUCCGCCAUCUCUGGCCAAGAAAAUUAUACUAUUAUAAAUUGUUACCCCAACACAGGAGUGCUAGAACAAGGAAAGACUAAAAGAAAAAAAAGGAACUCGGCAAACCCAGACCCCGCCUGUUUACCAAAAACAUCGCCUCUUGCAUUACAAGUAUAAGAGGUCCCACCU